GACGAACCGUACGAACGUUAUUCGGAAUCACUGGGCUUAAAGGGUGCGUAGGCGGCGCGGAAAGUUGGGUGUGAAAUCCCUCGGCUUAACCGAGGAACUGCGCUCAAAACUACCGUGCUCGAGGGAGACAGAGGUGAGCGGAACUUAGGGUGGAGCGGUGAAAUGCGUUGAUAUCCUAAGGAACACCGGUGGCGAAAGCGGCUCACUGGGUCUCUUCUGACGCUGAGGCACGAAAGCUAGGGGAGCGAACGGG
rnacentral:rRNA from 1 species